rnacentral:misc_RNA from 1 species
GAAGCUUUUAGAUAAAGAAGUUCGUAAUAGAACUUAGAGUGGUUCCAUCCAUUAUAUCACCAGUUCCAUUAUAUUGAACUAUAUUGUGAAAACAAUGAUGCUGUAAUUCAAGCUAAGGAACUCCGGUCUCACUAAAAAUCCAAACAAAUAGAAACGCACUAACAUAUUAUCAGAGAAAUAGAUGGGCGCGGCGAUGUAACCAUGCAGAAAAUAGCAUCAGUUAAAA